rnacentral:rRNA from 1 species
CCGCCCUUCGGGUGCCUUAUACAUGCAGUCGAACGAACUCUGGUAUUGAUUGGUGCUUGCAUCAUGAUUUACAUUUGAGUGAGUGGCGAACUGGUGAGUAACACGUGGGAAACCUGCCCAGAAGCGGGGGAUAACACCUGGAAACAGAUGCUAAUACCGCAUAACAACUUGGACCGCAUGGUCCGAGUUUGAAAGAUGGCUUCGGCUAUCACUUUUGGAUGGUCCCGCGGCGUAUUAGCUAGAUGGUGGGGUAACGGCUCACCAUGGCAAUGAUACGUAGCCGACCUGAGAGGGUAAUCGGCCACAUUGGGACUGAGACACGGCCCAAACUCCUACGGGAGGCAGCAGUAGGGAAUCUUCCACAAUGGACGAAAGUCUGAUGGAGCAACGCCGCGUGAGUGAAGAAGGGUUUCGGCUCGUAAAACUCUGUUGUUAAAGAAGAACAUAUCUGAGAGUAACUGUUCAGGUAUUGACGGUAUUUAACCAGAAAGCCACGGCUAACUACGUGCCAGCAGCCGCGGUAAUACGUAGGUGGCAAGCGUUGUCCGGAUUUAUUGGGCGUAAAGCGAGCGCAGGCGGUUUUUUAAGUCUGAUGUGAAAGCCUUCGGCUCAACCGAAGAAGUGCAUCGGAAACUGGGAAACUUGAGUGCAGAAGAGGACAGUGGAACUCCAUGUGUAGCGGUGAAAUGCGUAGAUAUAUGGAAGAACACCAGUGGCGAAGGCGGCUGUCUGGUCUGUAACUGACGCUGAGGCUCGAAAGUAUGGGUAGCAAACAGGAUUAGAUACCCUGGUAGUCCAUACCGUAAACGAUGAAUGCUAAGUGUUGGAGGGUUUCCGCCCUUCAGUGCUGCAGCUAACGCAUUAAGCAUUCCGCCUGGGGGAGUACGGCCGCAAGGCUGAAACUCAAAGGAAUUGACGGGGGCCCGCACAAGCGGUGGAGCAUGUGGUUUAAUUCGAAGCUACGCGAAGAACCUUACCAGGUCUUGACAUACUAUGCAAUCUAAGAGAUUAGACGUUCCCUUCGGGGACAUGGAUACAGGUGUGCAUGGUUGUCGUCAGCUCGUGUCGUGAGAUGUGGGUAGUCCCGCACGAGCGCACCCUUAUUUAUCAGUUGCCAGCAUUAAGUUGGGCACCUCUUGGUUGAGAACUGCCGGUGGAACAAACCGGGAGGUAG